UGCGGGGUAGAGCAGUAUGGUAGCUCGUCGGGCUCAUAACCCGAAGGUCACAGGUUCAAAUCCUGUCCCCGCUA
rnacentral:tRNA from 1 species